UACAGAGGGUGCGAGCGUUAAUCGGAAUUACUGGGCGUAAAGGGCGCGUAGGCGGUUAUAUGUGUGGGAUGUGAAAGCCCUGGGCUUAACCUAGGAAGCGCAUACCAAACUGUAUAACUGGAGUAUAUGAGAGGGUAGCGGAAUUUCCGGUGUAGCGGUGAAAUGCGUAGAGAUCGGAAGGAACGCCAAUGGCGAAGGCAGCUACCUGGCAUAAUACUGACGCUGAGGCGCGAAAGCGUGGGGAGCAAACAGGAUUAGAUACCCUGGUAGUCCACGCUGUAAACGAUGAGGACUAAAUGUAGGAUGGGCGACCAUUCUGUAUUGAAGCUAACGCGAUAAGUCUUCCGCCUGGGAAGUACGGCCGCAAGGUUGAA
rnacentral:rRNA from 1 species